UUUGGCAGUCACAAUAAAGACUCUGCCAGAAAGAUCAGGGCUCCUCACCGAACUAAAGUCCCUGAGGGACACAGCACACGAGUGACCGACCUAACGCCGGCUAGGCGGUGAGGUGUUUCUAACAAGUGCCCCAUCACCAAAGCCCCCAAAGGAGGAAGCCGCUGGAGACCAGGCGCCGGGCACUUCUCCCUCCUCUGAACAGCCAGACUGCCUCGGGUGCAGCUGGCCGUUUUGAGGGCUGCCCGGGUGUGGAGCGUGCGCUCUGCAGAAGGUUCUGCCCAGCGACCUUGGGUCUUCAGAUGAAAUAGAGCUCCAGUCAAGGAGCCUCAUACACCUGGUCGUGACUUAGGCAAUCCUGGACUUUCAAGGCAAUUCCAUGAAAGUAUAUGUGCUGCCGAAGCGAGCACCAGCUUGGGACUUCAGCUUGGGAAUCAGAUGACAAAACGCCUUUCAGCUUUCACCUGGAUUUCUUGGAAUUCUUUCUUUGGAAUGUUCCUUCUUGGAACCUCACCACCCUGCUGUGAGAAGCUAAGGUCACAUGGAAAAGCCACAUGAAGAGAGAAAACAAUGCUGGCCAUAUCCUAGCUGUUUCAAACAUACAGCCCGGACAUAAAUGAAGGAACCAUCUUGGACGGUCUAGCCCCAGCAGACACUGUAUAGAAAAGAACCCAAAUCCCAGACAUAUGACCCCAGUCAAGCUGUCCCUACCAUCUCCAGCCAUUUUUGUGCCAUCACCACUGAGGCCCCCAGACGCUGGGAAGCAAAGACAAACCAUCCUUUUUGUGCCCUGCCCAAACUUCUGACCCCCUGAAUGAGUAUAAUGAAAUGGUAGUUGUUUCAUGCCACUAAGUUUUGAGUGGUUUGUUAUGUAGGAUUAGAUAACUGAACAACAGUGAAAAGAUAAUGUUCCCAAGAUAAUGUUUCCUUCCCCAAAGAAGAUUCUGGUCUGGCCUACUCAUUCUUCCCUUCCCCUGAUUUCUAGGGGAGUUCUACCUUCCCAGACUAGUUCUUAAGCUGUUCUUUGUCAUGGAGAACUAAGAAGAAAAGAAGAAGGAAAGAAGACCACAAUGCAGAAAUCUGGGAUGUGGGGGGAAGAGGUGAAGGGACAGUUGUUGAGAAGAAAAGAAAAGCAGCUCUAGCAUGUGAAGGCAAUGGGUAGGAAAGGGGGGAUUCUCACAAGUCUCAUGGAAGACUCCAUGAGCUUCACAGCCUUUGAAAGGUAUAGAUAAAGGAUUUGAAAUCUUUUCAAAUAGUUUUGGCUAGAUAGACUUUUUUCUUUCAUUCAGGACCAGAUUAAUUAUGGCUAAUACUUAUGGCUUAUAAGUGUUAUAAAGGGCACUCCCUCCCCUUGGACCCCAUUCCAGACCACGCUGUGUUUUUCUGCUAAGUGCUACAGAGGAAAAGUAUGGGUUGAUAUGAGUGUGUACAGGUGAACAUGUUACGCUCUCCGGAACAGGGAAAGCUGCAAAUGAGGAGGGACAGUGAGGCUGAGUCCUGAAGGAUGAGUUGUAGCUAACUGGGCCAACGUGAGAGAAGAAACUUCCAGACGAAUAAGAGCCUACAUAGAGGAUGGUUUAAUCAAGAAACCCAAGUGAAGGCCAGUGUAGAGUGUGGAGAACAACAGAGAGAGCAGAGAAGUGAGAAGAAAUUGGAGAGGUUGGCAUCUGAGGCCAAAUAAACCAGGAGCGCCAGGCCUGUCAGUUAGGUCUGUAGAGCUCUUAUCUUCCCCAGGGGUCUGAAAUACCACGUAAUCAGUGGCACGAUCUGGCAGCAAGGAGCAGAAAUGCCGAACAGCUCAACAGCUCGGCCUGAAGUUGCAGAUGUGGGAGUGGUGUCCAGCCCCUGGCCACUCGGCUGCUGAUAGCAUCUCUAUUACGGCCAUACUGCAGCUUUCCUAAGGACAAGUGGAAGCUUCUGGUUCCAUGGGAAAUUUCACAAAUCAGGUUAUGGGAGUCAGGCCAGUUCCACAUCCUCAAAGCCAGGUGAAAUCGCAGUCCCUUCCACUGGGAAAAACAAUAGCCCUCUCUGCCUCACAGGGGUGGGUUAUUAUGAGGAACAAAUAAGAUACUAUCUGUGAAAGCACCCAUAUUCACUAAAGCCUAUAUAAAUGGGAGGGGCAAUAGUGACGAACAAGAAGAAGGAGAAUAAUAAUAGAGUUCUGAUGCCAACAAGGACAAAAACCUCUGAGGCUUUAGGGUUGGGUGGUUUGCUCAAGGUGCAAAAGGAGCAAAAUUUGAGCUUUUAAUGAUGAGAACCGUGUGACAGGGCUAAUUCUUAAAGCCUUCUCAGACAACAGUAGCUGGAGUUUAGGCUGAGCCCAGUGUUCUAUGGAAUAUCUUGACUUAAUGAUCUUCUGUUGAGACCAAAGUCAGAUCUACUGACCCACUGAAUGCAUGAAAGUCAAUGUCAACAUUACCCACUGAGGAUAGGGAUAAGGGUAGGCUUCACAAAGGUGGAGAUUGAGUCUUGAAAAUUAAUUAAAGGUUACAGACAGCUGGAGAGUAGAAGGAAGGACAGUUCAGAAAGAGGUAGGUGAACGUGCAGAAGUAUGAAAGCCAAAAAAUAAAAUAAAAAAUAACUUCAGGGAGAUAAAAAAAGAA